rnacentral:rRNA from 1 species
GUGGACGCCAGUCUGCGUGGAGCCGACCUUGAAAUACCACCCUUUAAUGUUUGAUGUUCUAACGUGGACCCGUAAUCCGGGUUGCGGACAGUGUCUGGUGGGUAGUUUGACUGGGGCGGUCUCCUCCUAAAGAGUAACGGAGGAGCACGAAGGUUGGCUAAUCCUGGUCGGACAUCAGGAGGUUAGUGCAAUGGCAUAAGCCAGCUUGACUGCGAGCGUGACGGCGCGAGCAGGUGCGAAAGCAGGUCAUAGUGAUCCGGUGGUUCUGAAUGGAAGGGCCAUCGCUCAACGGAUAAAAGGUACUCCGGGGAUAACAGGCUGAUACCGCCCAAGAGUUCAUAUCGACGGCGGUGUUUGGCACCUCGAUGUCGGCUCAUCACAUCCUGGGGCUGAAGUAGGUCCCAAGGGUAUGGCUGUUCGCCAUUUAAAGUGGUACGCGAGCUGGGUUUAGAACGUCGUGAGACAGUUCGGUCCCUAUCUGCCGUGGGCGCUGGAGAACUGAGGGGGGCUGCUCCUAGUACGAGAGGACCGGAGUGGACGCAUCACUGGUGUUCGGGUUGUCAUGCCAAUGGCACUGCCCGGUAGCUAAAUGCGGAAGAGAUAAGUGCUGAAAGCAUCUAAGCACGAAACUUGCCCCGAGAUGAGUUCUCCCUGAGACUUAGAGUCUCCUGAAGGAACGUUGAAGACGACGACGUU